AGGUGAUCUUCUCCCACCGCCACCACCACCUCUAGAGGAUCCUGGUACCAUCCCACCUGGUCCCGGACACUUCCCUCCUCCUCCACCACUGGAUGAAGGGGCUUUCAAAGUGCAGCAGGGAAAUCCUGGAGGCAAGACCCUGGAGGAAAGGCGCUCUAGUCUAGAUGCAGAGAUCGACUCCUUGACCAGCAUCUUGGCUGAUUUGGAGUGCAGCUCACCCUACAAGCCACGUCCCCCACAGGUAGGUACUUCUCACAGUGCUGCUUGAGCAGUGGUCUUCACUCUAUCUAGAAAGUGAAGUUUCUUCUGAGAGCCUUUCAUUCUUAUGUGAACCUCCUUAAAGCCAGUGGCCCUACCUCCUAAUCUGACAGGGCCCCAUUGUGUCUCAUAAGUUAUCAAUGAAGUCACAACCCUCUGGUACCAUCUCCCACAUCUUAGCAGACAUUCACUGUCAUGCUAAGAACAUAACUAUCAGCUUAUACUAGUUAGCUACCAGUAACUUCUUAAAGGUGCAUUGUCAGCAUCAUCCUUCCGGAGGAUCCCUUCCUGGCUAAGUAUAGGAAGAAGGGUCAAAUCUGUUGCAGGCCUUCUGUGUCCCCUUAACAGGGUUCUAGAUGCCAAAGUUAGGCAGGUCCUUUUGCCAGUGUGUGGUUUGACUCUGAUGAUGUUUUUGGUUUUCUGAUUGACAGCACAUACACCUCUGUGUGUUUCACUGGAUUAGCUAACAGGAGCCAUUGUAUUAUGUUCCCUAACAAAUUACAGAGCCGUCCUGCUUCUGUGCUGUCAAUAAUUCAUCACUCAUCUUCAUCUAAGAUCGAAGUGUCUUUGUUAGACACAUCCCUAUCCCCUUCCCAGUGCAUGGAAUGAGACUGGCAGGCAGGUUGGGAACAAAAGGCAAAACAGACCAACGUCGAACUCUAGUGUAUCUGUGUAGGCUCCGUCUGUCCCAGCAGUGCACAUGGACUCCAUCUCUUCUUCAUUGGCUCAGCUUUGCCUGUAGAGCAGGCAUGGUGGCUUUUGUGGUGAACUGCACAGAAAAGGAAAGUGCAUUGUUGGGAGCAGAGUCAUAGGCCUUUGCAGUAGCUGUCUAGUAGCGUCUUUCACAGUAUGAGAAAAACUGAGGCUGCUAAGACAAGCAAGCACACAGGAAGAGAAUGGUAGCGUUUUAAGAAGGUUGGCAGAAUCUGUGCAGUCUUACACGCUUGUUAAGUAAGCCAAAGGCUGGGUGCUAUUGUGCCAUUGGAGGCAUAGAGACAGCAGCCUGAGACCCAGGCCAGGGUGGGAGCACACGCGAGGCUGUAGGAAGCCACUCUACCAAUAGCUUGCAGUGAGUUUGACACCAUGUUUGUGUUUUGAUGUUAAACUGAGAUUUUAGCUUGUCAGUUAUAAAGCAUAGAAAGUUGUUGAAGGAUCUCAAGCAGGGGAGAGCUAAAAUUCAUUCUGAAUGGAAAUGGAGGAAACGAGACCAACUCUAAAAAGAUGGAGAUGAUCAACAGAACCAUUUCCUAGAAGUGAUGCUUAUGCUAUCAUCUGAACUUAAGCAAGUAAAUGCCACACACCUAGUUUCUCAGCAAACAAUCCAGUGACUGCCACCAGACUCAGUUAUGUUCUGCAGAAUGGUUUAUGGGCUCCUUUUAAGCUGGGUUUUUGUUUAGGCUUUGUUUUUUACUCCCAAGGGCUUCUUUUUUUCCUCUCAAUUGUUCUUUUAUGGAAAAUUUUUUCUUUUAAUAUUUUGAUUAGUUUAUCUUCUCCUAACUCCUCUGAUAUUCUCACCAGUUCAUCUCCUACCCAAAUCCCCCCUCUCUCUUCAUCUCUCUCUGUCUCUCUUUCUCUCUCCCUUUCCCUUCCUUCCUUCCCCUCUCUCAGAAAGUAAACAGACAUCUAAAGAAGUAAAGGUAGGAGAAACAUAUAUAGACACAAAGACACACACACAUAGGGAUCCCAUAAAAGCACAACACCAGAAGUCAUAAUAUAUAUGCAAAGAUUGUGUAAGGAAUGGAAGGAAGAAGGACAGGAGGAAAGAAAGGAAGGAUGGAUAGGAAAAGUCGAGCCCUAGUGAAACAUUCUGAGACCAGGGACCUCCAAAGAUGCAUGGUGUGGAAAAGACUGUGCUGGGAGAUUUUUCCUGCAUGUCAACUUUCUUCUUUAGGAUAAUGUCUACAUGUGCUGCCUAUAAAAUAGUGCACUUUGAUUGGUUUCUUCAGCAGUGCUCUUACCAAUUUGAAGAUUCUUGCUGCAAGUCUACACUCAUGGUCACUGACAGCUUCCUGCUCAUGAUGCUCAGGCACGCGUUUUCUCACGUGACUAGGGUAUAUGCAUCUUACCUCUGAGAUAUAGAUAGUAUACUGGUUUUCAUGGGCAGAGAAGCCAAGACUUAGCCAGUAAAUGGUAGUCAUUUUUUACUACUAUGUGAGUAUAGGUGUACCCAAAGCUUAGACUUCUGUUUCAUUAUGUAUUUUAUAAUCAGAUUAAAGUCUUUGGUAUGUAUGUAUGUAUGUAUGUAUGUAUGUAUGUAUGUAUGUAUGUAUUUUAAUUGUUUUACUGUU
rnacentral:lncRNA from 1 species